GCGCUCGCUUUGGCAGCACAUAUACCAAAAUUGGAACGACACAGAGAAGAUUAGCAUGGCCCCUGCACAUGGAUGACAAUUUGUAAGUGCAACAGUAUACUUAA